rnacentral:rRNA from 1 species
CCUACGGGGGGCAGCAGUGAGGAAUAUUGGUCAAUGGACGAGAGUCUGAACCAGCCAAGUAGCGUGAAGGAUGACUGCCCUAUGGGUUGUAAACUUCUUUUAUAUGGGAAUAAAAUGUUCCACGUGUGGGAUUUUGUAUGUACCAUAUGAAUAAGGAUCGGCUAACUCCGUGCCAGCAGCCGCGGUACUACGGAGGAUCCGAGCGUUAUCCGGAUUUAUUGGGUUUAAAGUGAGCGUAGGUGGAUUGUUAAGUCAGUUGUGAAAGUUUGCGGAUCAACCGUAAAAUUGCAGUUGAAACUGGCAGUCUUGAGUACAGUAGAGGUGGGCAGAAUUCGUGGUGUAGCGGUGAAAUGCUUAGAGAUCACGAAGAACUCCGAUUGCGAAGGCAGCUCACUGGACUGCAACUGACACUGAGGCGCGAAAGUGUGGGUAGCAAACAGGAUUAGAUACCCCUGUAGUC